GAGUAAUGCAUCGGAACGUACCCCGUAGUGGGGGAUAACGCCGGGAAACCGGCGCUAAUACCGCAUAUGCUCUACGGAGGAAAGUGGGGGACCGCAAGGCCUCACGCUAUGGGAGCGGCCGAUGUCCGAUUAGCUUGUUGGUGGGGUAAUGGCUUACCAAGGCGACGAUCGGUAGCUGGUCUGAGAGGAUGAUCAGCCACACUGGGACUGAGACACGGCCCAGACUCCUACGGGAGGCAGCAGUGGGGAAUUUUGGACAAUGGGGGCAACCCUGAUCCAGCCAUGCCGCGUGCGGGAAGAAGGCCUUCGGGUUGUAAACCGCUUUUAGUCGGAAAGAAAAGGCGUCUCCUAAUACGAGGCGUUCUUGACGGUACCGGCGGAAUAAGCACCGGCUAACUGCGUGCCAGCAGCCGCGGUAAUACGUAGGGUGCGAGCGUUAAUCGGAAUUACUGGGCGUAAAGCGUGCGCAGGCGGUUCGUUGUGUCUGAUGUGAAAGCCCCGGGCUCAACCUGGGAACUGCAUUGGA
rnacentral:rRNA from 1 species